rnacentral:rRNA from 1 species
AGAGUUUGAUCCUGGCUCAGGACGAACGCUGGCGGCGUGCCUAACACAUGCAAGUCGAACGGGACCGGGGGCAACUUCGGUUCAGUGGCGGACGGGUGCGUAACACGUGAGGAACAUGACCUUCGGCGGGGGAUAGCCGGCCCAACGGCCGGGUAAUACCGCGUACGACCAUUAGGGGACAUCCUCCGAUGGUGAAAGCAGCAAUGCGCCGAUGGAGUGCCUCGCGGCCUAUCAGCUAGUUGGUGGGGUAACGGCCUACCAAGGCGACGACGGGUAGCUGGUCUGAGAGGAUGGCCAGCCACAUUGGGACUGAGACACGGCCCAGACUCCUACGGGAGGCAGCAGUGGGGAAUAUUGCGCAAUGGACGAAAGUCUGACGCAGCGACGCCGCGUGUGGGAUGACGGUCUUCGGAUUGUAAACCACUGUCGGGAGGGACGAAUACGCCGCAAGGCGGGUGACGGUACCUCCAAAGGAAGCACCGGCUAACUCCGUGCCAGCCGCCGCGGUAAUAC